AGGUUCAAACGCGAACCGAGUUCCCUCCCUAACCAAGGCACGGACAUACAGACCUCACUUAAGGAUAGAAGUUGUCGAAACGCUAAGAGUUCACCCAACAAUGCGGUGAACGCGUUAGGGCCCCAAUACGACUUCCGUCCCGCGUUUGGAACUGUUGACCAAACUGCUUUCCAUUUGAGACCCAUAUAACAUGGUAUCUCAUGGAUACGGGGGGCAUACCGGUCAAACAGCUUUUCUACCAGACCUCGGAC
rnacentral:lncRNA from 1 species